rnacentral:rRNA from 1 species
UACAGAGGUCUCAAGCGUUAUCCGGAAUCAUUGGGCGUAAAGGGUGCGUAGGUGGCAUUGUUAGUCGUUUGUUAAAGACCGAGGCUCAACCUCGGAAGUGCGAACGAAACGGCAAUGCUUGAGUAUGUGAGAGGUAAGCGGAACUCAUGGUGUAGGGGUGAAAUUCGUAGAUAUCGGGAGGAACACCGGUGGCGAAGGCGGCGAUCUGGGUCGAUACUGACGCUGAGGUGCGAAAGCGUGGGGAGCAAACAGG